rnacentral:rRNA from 1 species
GUCCGCCUCACCGCGUGCACUGGUCCGGCCGGGCCUUUCCUUCUGGGGAGCCGCAUGCCCUUCACUGGGUGUGUCGGGGAACCAGGACUUUUACUUUGAAAAAAUUAGAGUGUUCAAAGCAGGCCUAUGCUCGAAUACAUUAGCAUGGAAUAAUAGAAUAGGACGCGCGUUUCUAUUUUGUUGGUUUCUAGGAUCGCCGUAAUGAUUAAUAGGGAUAGUUGGGGGCAUUCGUAUUCAAUUGC